rnacentral:tRNA from 2 species
CGGGGCGUGGCGCAGCCAGGUAGCGCACUAGCAUGGGGGGCUAGUGGUCGCUGGUUCAAAUCCAGUCGCCCCGACCA